rnacentral:rRNA from 1 species
CCUACGGGUGGCAGCAGUGAGGAAUAUUGGUCAAUGGGCGCAAGCCUGAACCAGCCAAGUAGCGUGAAGGAUGACUGCCCUACGGGUUGUAAACUUCUUUUAUAAAGGAGUAAAGUGAGGCACGUGUGCCUUUUUGUAUGUACUUUAUGAAUAAGGAUCGGCUAACUCCGUGCCAGCAGCCGCGGUAAUACGGAGGAUCCGAGCGUUAUCCGGAUUUAUUGGGCGUAAAGCGCUCGUAGGCGGUAGGUCAAGUCAAGGGUGAAAUCCCCGGGCUCAACGUGGGAACUGCCUUUGAAACUGGUAAACUGGAGUGUGUGAGAGGAAAGUGGAAUGCCAGGUGUAGCAGUGAAAUGCGUAGAGAUCAGGCGGAACAUCAAUUGCGAAGGCGACUAACUGGGACACAACUGACGCUGAGGCGCGAAAGCGUGGGUAGCAAACAGGAUUAGAUACCCUAGUAGUC